CUCCUUUAGAAUGGACUGGUUGGAUCUCCUUGCAGUCCAAGGGACUCUUUUUUGCAAAUUCAAGAAAUUUGCAGUUAUCUAUUAUCAAGAGCAGAUUCCCACCUGAUAUCAAGAUACACAUUACAAAGUCAUAGUUCAAUAAGACAAAAGUGUGGUGCUUGCCAGAAGCAGGCAGAUGAUGCCCCAGUGAAACAAAAAAGAAAUCUCUAAAAGACUCACAAGUCAGAUACUCACAAGUACCUGAAGACUUGAUGAAUAUAAUGAGGUGGCAUCCCAAAUCAAUGUUGAAAUAAGAGAUUAGUUAAUAAAUCAUCCUGGGACAAAUGGCU